AGCUCCAAUAGCGUAUAUUAAAGUUGUUGCGGUUAAAAAGCUCGUAGUUGGAUUUCUGUCCAAGACAACCGGUCCGUACUUGUUACGCGUAUCAGGUUCGUCUGGGGCAUCCUCUUGGGGAUCGUUUCUGUGCUUCAUUGCAUGGGGCGGAAUUCAAGACUUUUACUUUGAGGAAAUUAGAGUGUUCACAGCAGGCUUUCGCUUUGAAUACAUUAGCAUGGAAUAAUAAUAUAGGGCGUAAGUUCUAUUUUGUUGGUUUCUAGGACAUACGCAAUGAUUAAUAGGGACAAUUGGGGGCAUUCGUAUUAACGCGUCAGAGGUGGAAUUCUUAGAUUGCGUUACGACGAACUACUGCGAAAGCAUUUGCCAAGGAUGUUUUCAUUGAUC
rnacentral:rRNA from 1 species